rnacentral:rRNA from 1 species
GACAAAAUCCCUACACCGGUGAGAAUGCCCUCUGUACCACACUUAGGUUUAAAGGAGCGGACAUCAAGCACACUGCUAAGUAGCUCACGACGUCUUGCUUUGCCACACCCCCACGGGAGACAGCAGUAAUAAAAAUUAAGCAAUAAACGAAAGUUUGACUAAGUCAUGCAGCAAUCAGGGUUGGUAAAUCUCGUGCCAGCCACCGCGGUCAUACGAUUGACCCUAGUUAAUAAAUCCCGGCGUAAAAAGUGUUUUGGAACUAUAAAAAAUAAGACUAAUCCUUGUCUAAGUUGUAGAAAACUCUAGACACGGUAGAAACCAUAAACGAAAGUAGUUUUAAUAAGUCCGACACACGAAAGCUAAGGCCCAAACUGGGAUUAGAUACCCCACUAUGCUUAGCCAUAAACACAAAAACUUACAUAACAAAAGAUUUCGCCAGAGAACUACUAGCAAUAGCUUAAAACUCAAAGGACUUGGCGGUGCUUUAUACCCGCCUAGAGGAGCCUGUUCUAUAAUCGAUAAACCCCGAUACACCUCACCUCUCCUUGCUAAUUCAGCCUAUAUACCGCCAUCUUCAGCCAACCCUAUUAUGGAAACAAAGUGAGCGCAAGUACACUACAUAAAAACGUUAGGUCAAGGUGUAGCCAAUGGAGAGGGAAGAAAUGGGCUACAUUUUCUUACCCAAGAACAUUAAACGCAAAUCUUUAUGAAAUUCAAAGAUCUAAGGAGGAUUUAGUAGUAAAUCAAGAAUAGAGAGCUUGAUUG